UGUUCUUUUGGCGUUAGGACCAUUGAAGUGUACACAUAAAGUCUUGUAUUUUUUUUUUAAUUGGAAAGAGAAUUUAUUGAUACCAUUUAUUGUUUCGGCUCUCACAGAUGUAUUCAAUGAGGUAAAAAUACUUGAAAAUUACUGAUUAAAAAACAACAAACCUGGUUAAAAUAUAUUGAGAACUGACUGCAUAGCAUAAUUGAAACUGUGAAGGGACUUUACGAAUACCCUGUAUUCUAAAAUAUUGCUUUAGAAUGGUUGUAAAAUGAUUCUCAAAGUCAGUGAAUAGAAUUAAUGCUGCUCAUUUUGAUAAAUAGUAGAGGAUUUUGAUUUAGUUUCUCUUUUGAACCAGUAAUAAGUUGAUAGAUGAUUAUUCAGCACUCCAGAUGUGUGUGUACCAAUAUUGGGGUGACUAGUUUGUUCGCCUACUUUACACAUCGAAUGUGUGUAAAGGGACGGAAGCCUAUUCAUCUGGCUAAAAUCGUAAUAAAUUUAUGGCCUAACCCUAACCUGGUACACACACCACGGGGGAACCAAUUAAGUGACGUUUACACUGAAUGCGGCCGACACGACAUGCGCCCGUUAUCGCUCCCCAUUGCUUCAAAUGAAGCCAUUUACACACAAAGCGUGGCACCAUGUGGAGGCGCUUCAGUUUCUCUUGGCAAGCGAUUUUCGGCGUGUUCCGCUGCGGUGCUUCUGGUCGAGCGACACAGGUGUUUACAUAGCGCUCGUCAUUUUUGUAUCGCCCGAUGGUGCUAGAGGCGGUUGCUUAGAAACAUAGACACUGCAUAUUCAGUAAGGAAUUUCGUCUGCAACCAGCUUACCGUAAUUAUAAAUAAUAAUGCCAUCAUCAAACAAAUAGAGAUUGGCAAUCGCUCUGUAUUUAGCAAACAACAGCGAUAGAAAAGAGAGCAUUAGGUGCAUCCUAUCUUAAAAAAAAGAAAUGAGCUUGGUAACUUUAGAUCAUUGACUCUUAACAAUGCUGCAAUGCCUUAUAAAACUGUGAUUCUCUUUCUUUAUAGUACAGUCUAAUCAUAUCUUAUCCUGUUUCGUUCAUCAUCCCAUGUCUACUAAACAGUUGUUAAAGCUAAGGAGGUGUAUGGAAAUCUAUGUUUCUUUUGUUAUUACUUACCAUGCAGGUGAAAGUAAAUGCGCUUGGAAAGGGCAAGAACAAUUGACAGAACAAUAGUUAAAAUCUCCAACAGUCAGAAAAUGGGAGCAAAUCGCUUAUGAGUAUGAAAAAUGGUGGAAUUUCCCACAUUGCAUCGGGAGCAUAGAUGGGAACCACUUCCAAAUUCAGGCUCCCUUUAUUACAAUUAAGCACGCCUUCAACAUUGUGCUAAUAGCUCUGCUCUAAUGAGUGCAAAGUGGAGGCCAAUGGGUGUGUCACCACAAAACGCUGAGUUGGUUGUGAAGACAGCAUGCUGUUUGUAUAAUUUUGUAAGACGCCAUACAUUGACAGAUGUGAGUGAAAUGAAUAGCGAAGAUCUAGAAGGAAACAUAACGAGAGGAAGUUGCCGUGUACAUGAGGACAAUAGUUUUUUGUCCCUGCAAAGGCAAGGUCGCAGAAAUAGUGUAGCGGCAGCUGCAGUUCGUGACAGCUUCAAGAAAUAUUUCAUGGUUGAUAGAGCUUGCCCUUGGCAACUUCAAAGAGUCAGAAUGACAUGAAAAAAAAAGUUAUUUUUGUCUAAUUCAGGGGUUAUCAUUGAAAGCACAUAUUACAGAAUGAAUGAGAAGUUUUUUACAUUUGACACUCUACACUUAAAUAUUUUGAGCUUUAAGCGACUUGGAAAAAAAUUAAAAUUCUUAAUAGUUCAAUGGAACUUCAUUGAGAAAAAACCAAUAACACAUACCGGUAUACGAAAUAAUAUAAUAUAUGAUCUUUAUUCUGUGAUAAGUGACAUAAUGCAAUUUACAAUGUUUGACAAUGAACUUACUUGAUUUGUGCUAAAUGGAAGAAAAUAACUAGAGCAGCAAGACGAAAAUCAUGCAAUUACUCCACAGUGAUGAAAUCAGGAAUGGCAAAAAUAAUAUACUGUACAUAAGUACAUACAAACAUACGGAUACAUAAAUGGUAUUUCUAAAGCUUGCUCAAAUCAUUGUGAAAUCAAUUUAAUUUAGUAAUACAGAGUAAUUGAGAUAAACAUCGUUUUCAUUGAUUUUUUCUGGUAAAUUAAAUCAUUUCCCGAAUUCAGCAUCAUGAAGUAAUUGCAUGAUAAUCCUAUUUGUUGAAGACAAACGCUCAUACCUUGCAUUCUAUCUCUUAAAACUGCAUGUAUAUGAACUAUGAGUUAUAGCAAUAUUUGAUAUUCGGUAGUUCUUGUAUAACCUAUUAUUCUAUCUGCAGUCUAUGUCUUUAAGUGCCUAUACCUUUGAACAUUGUUAUUUUUAGCCGACCAAAGUUAUUGUAAUAUUUUAUAUAUUUCAUGUCAAAUCUUUUACUCUACCUUGUUUUCUAUCUAUAACUGCCUUCAUUCAUUAUUUUUGUAAAUCAUAGCUGACAAAGUCAUAGUAUAUUUGGGUAAAUUCCACGCCCAAGGCUAUUAUUUAUUUUUAAUGCUUAUUUAUACUUGAGAUCUUAUACUCUAUAUAACUGGCACUUUCCUGUGGGGGUUAUGUAGUGAAUACUUUUAAUUUAAUUAAUUAAUUUAAUUUUAUUUAAUAAGUCUGAUUGUCUGACAUUGCAGAAUAAAAAUUAAUCAAAUACUUUCUGUCGAUAUUCAACAUAACGAAUUGUAAUAAGGAUGAUGAUUUAUAAUAAUUAUCUCUGCACAUGACCUUGCAUAUACUGAAAUAGUCUUUUUUAUUCAAUUUCAUUCUUUUUGUAAUUAAGUAGGUCACAACCCAUUUAAUUUAUUAAAAAUAUUCGAUGUUCAAACUAGCUUUCAAGUUCAAUGUUCUUCAAUGAUGAAUUGUAUAUCUGACUUUCAUUUUCCCCGCUAGUAUUUGUAAUGUGUGACUACAUUAUCUUGUUUAACGUUACCUUCAUUUUCUCUGCAAUCGAUAUGAUUUUUAAUUGUGUUCACUGUUUGGUUUAUAAUCGGAUCUAACUGUUCUAAAGCAUAGCCCUGAGGACUAAAUUCAAAUAUUGAAACGAAAUAAAUAAGAUCUCAGUUGAUAUCAUGAAAUGUGCUGAAACCUUACUAACAGCCGAAAGGGAUUCUCAACGGGACACGCUUCCAAGGAGUCGAGGAUAUCAAGACCAGCAUGACGAGACACUUCAACACCAUCACAAAAGAAGAAUUUUCACAGCGCUUCAAAACGUGGUAAAAAAGAAUGGAAAAGUGCAUCCAAGCCAAUGGGGAAUAUUUCGAAGGGGCAAAUAAAGAUGACUUAAGACUUGUAUGUGUUGGACAAUGUGGACUUUGUACGAUAUGCAUCUAAAUAAACUUCUAAAUUCAAUAGUCCCGUUUUUUUUAGCCGCACCUCGUAUAUAAGAACAUAUCUAUAUAACCACUAGACUUUAUCAACUAGUAGUGAGAUGAACGAAACACAAUAGUAUAUGGUUAGAUCAUAUUAUAAAAAAUGCAAUAUUAGUUGUUUAAGGCACGGUUAGGAAUCAAUGAUCUUAUCUUACCAAGCUUAUUUCUCCUUUUACAGAUAGGAUGCACCCAAUACUCUUCUCUCUUUUCACUCGUUGUUCUUUGCUAAAUACAAAGCAAUUGCCAAUCUAUUUUUAUUUAUUAAUAAGUGGGCGACAUUUUUCUUUAUAAAUAUGUGACGUGCGACCAGAAGCGCUGCCGCGGUGCGUCGCAUCCAGUAUAAGCACACCUUUAUUCUGUAUACCGGUACCAAGGGUGGGUAACCUUUUCUGUACAUUGGGCCAGCUACGAACCAUGUUAUUUUGAUUUCCAGAAUAAAUGAGAUUUGUUUUGCUGCACAAAUGCUGUGUUCAUAUUACUCUAUGAUUGGGGUCAGGCCUGUUCUCUGACUGUAUUAUCCAUCACUAGUCAAGAAAAAUUUAUUUACAAGCAGGUGCAGGUGGUCCCUGAAACCA